AUGGAGAGCCACGAGCAGGACGACAUCGAGGAGCAGGACGACGAGCAGCUACGACGGUGCCGCGACCUGGGCCGCCAACGAACGCGGCCGUGCCCGCGGGAAUGGAGGACGUCGAGCAGGGGAGUUGGGUCCAGCGUCGAGGAGCACACUGGCGGCAAUAAGGUUCCACUCAAGGUUUUUAAGUAUCGUCCAUCACAAUCAGCAGAAGCUUCAACUGAGUUAGAGGCAAACACCAACCCACUUGAUCCGAAGGAUGAUGAAGGUUUGGACAAGAAGGAGGUGGUGACACCGCAGAUGAAACCGGUGGAGGCGGAGGGCAAGGGAUCCAGCAGUUCGUCAUCUCCUCGCUCGGAGGAUGAUGAUGGUUUGGGCAAGAAGGAGGUGGUGACACCGCAGAUGAAACCGGUGGAGAAGGAGGACAAGGGAUCCAGCAGUCCAUCAUCUCCUCACUCGGAGGACAUAGCCAAGGAGGACGUUGCCAAAUAUAAUCAUAAUGAUGGGACAAAACGUUUGCAAAGGGCCAAUUGCUCGCUUUUCAAAGAGCUCUUUGUCAACACAAGUCCUUCAAGCAAUGCAAAAGGCUGCCUUGAUCCAACAAAACUGCUUGCAUCUGUCUGCUCAAAGUGGCCCCAAUUUAUUACCGGCGGAAUGGAGGAUGCCGAAGAACUCAUCCAAUGUUUUCUUCAUGGUUUGGAUGAAGAGGAAGAUGAAGCACGUCAACCUUCAAUGGAUGCUUCAAAGAAGGUCACAAUUGUCAAUUCCAUCUUUGCAGGCGAGGAGUGUAGUGUUCGAACCAGCACAGAAUGUGUACAUAGUUCCAAGGAGAAACAUGAAGAGACCCUUAUAUUCCGACUGCCAAUUCUAGAUAGGAAGCUCCCUGCUGUAGCUUCGAGGAGCAAUAAAGCUGAUGCUGAGGCACAUGAUGGCGAUGAUCCUGUAUCAGUUGAGGAUUGCUUCUCCUUAUACACCAAGGAAGAGUUGAUGUAUGAUUGGGUCUGACAUGUGUGUUUCAAGGAGAUUCUUAAUAUGCAGCCAUACAUGGGCGAAAGGGUUGACGAGAAUGACAAUAACACCUACCGUCUAGUUGGUGUUGCUCAACACAUUGGAGAUCGGGAAGGAGGUCAUUAUAUUGUUGUUCAAAUCAUGAUGCCCAAUCUUCUGCCAAUGUCACGAGCUGAGGGUGAAGUUAACAGAAAUUGCCCGGAAGUAUAUGCUGGAACUUGUAACAAGUUUGAAAAUAAAGUUGACAGAAUGCAACAGGAAUUUAAUCUAGCAGCUCGAGUUAAAAUUUCUUGA
rnacentral:rRNA from 1 species